UGACGCCUAACGAGCUAGAUGGAAGCUUGUGGAUGAAGCGGGUCAAACGGAGCAAGUACGGAAAGAAAAGCGUGCCAUGGAUGCAAUGAUGAACGGCUCGGGAAUUAGCGAAGCUAUGAAAUAGCAAAUAAAUGAAGACAAGGUAUUAAAAUGGGUCAAUAUGUUGAUCCGAGCCAGGUAAACUUUAGUAAGCUUACGGAUGAAGAUCAAGCUCGUUGAAGGACCGAACACAAUGCAGUUACAAGCUUCCGCACAUAGUUUAGUCGUUAUUUCUAAACGGCAAAUUUUUACCAAUCAUGAUGUAACGUUAUAAAAUUUAGAAAAGUUUUAAUUAACUUGUAUUCUUAAUUGAUAUGUAAUCAUGAUUACAUGUUUAUUUUCAUAAAUUAUACUAAAACAUUA